rnacentral:rRNA from 1 species
GACGAACGCUGGCGGCGUGCUUAACACAUGCUAGUCGAGCGGAAAGGCCCUUCGGGGUACUCGAGCGGCGAACGGGUGAGUAACACGUGAGUAACCUGCCCCAGACUUUGGGAUAACCCUCGGAAACGGGGGCUAAUACCGGAUACGACACAGCUUCGCAUGGGGUCUGUGUGGAAAGUUUUUCGGUUUGGGAUGGGCUCGCGGCCUAUCAGCUUGUUGGUGGGGUGAUGGCCUACCAAGGCGACGACGGGUAGCCGGCCUGAGAGGGCGACCGGCCACACUGGGACUGAGACACGGCCCAGACUCCUACGGGAGGCAGCAGUGGGGAAUAUUGCACAAUGGGCGGAAGCCUGAUGCAGCGACGCCGCGUGAGGGAUGACGGCCUUCGGGUUGUAAACCUCUUUCAGCAGGGACGAAGCGUAAGUGACGGUACCUGCAGAAGAAGCGCCGGCCAACUACGUG